GACGAACCGUGCGAACGUUGUUCGGAAUCACUGGGCUUAAAGGGCGCGUAGGCGGGUUCGCAAGUCUGUGGUGAAAGCCUCCAGCUUAACUGGAGAAGUGCCGUGGAUACUGCGAAUCUUGAGGAGGGUAGGGGCGUCUGGAACGGUCGGUGGAGCGGUGAAAUGCGUUGAUAUCGACCGGAACUCCGGUGGCGAAGGCGAGGCGCUGGACCCUUCUGACGCUGAGGCGCGAAGCCAGGGAGCAACG
rnacentral:rRNA from 1 species